rnacentral:rRNA from 1 species
AGUGAACGCUGGCGGCGUGCCUAAUACAUGCAAGUCGAACGAUGAAGCUUCUAGCUUGCUAGAAGUGGAUUAGUGGCGCACGGGUGAGUAAGGUAUAGUUAAUCUGCCCUACACAAGAGGACAACAGUUGGAAACGACUGCUAAUACUCUAUACUCCUGCUUAACACAAGUUGAGUAGGGAAAGUUUUUCGGUGUAGGAUGAGACUAUAUAGUAUCAGCUAGUUGGUAAGGUAAUGGCUUACCAAGGCUAUGACGCUUAACUGGUCUGAGAGGAUGAUCAGUCACACUGGAACUGAGACACGGUCCAGACUCCUACGGGAGGCAGCAGUAGGGAAUAUUGCGCAAUGGGGGAAACCCUGACGCAGCAACGCCGCGUGGAGGAUGACACUUUUCGGAGCGUAAACCUCUGUCCUCUGUGAAGAUAAUGACGGUAGCAGAGGAGGAAGCUCCGGCUAACUACGUGCCAGCAGCCGCCGUAAAAC